rnacentral:lncRNA from 1 species
CCGCCGCCCCGUCUGGGAUGUGAGGAGCGCCUUGGCCCGGCCGUGACCCCGUCUGGGAGGUUUCCCGUGCAUAGGAGAUCCAAGACAGCAGAAGGCAGGAGCUGGCGGGACAGGGAGGAAGAGCGGCUCUGCCGUUUACUAUCUGUGUGACGCUGAGCAAAUUACACACGGUCUCUCUGACUCAGCUCCUUCCUGUCACAAAUGGGGAUAUUUAUAGUAUUUCUCACUACGUAGGUCCUUAUGCGCAUUAAAUGAGCUACUACACGGCAUUCGGCAUAGCGCCAGGCACACACUCAAUGUUCAAUACAUGUAGGCGGUUAGCCCA